CACUCUUGUUUCUCUUCAGAUCGUAUAAAUCUUUCGCCUUUUACUAAAGAUUUCCGUGUGGAGAAACAGCAAGAGUUUAUCUAAAUUUUUUGAUGCUCUGUGAAAGCGGAGCU
rnacentral:snRNA from 1 species